UGUCGUGGCACGGAUUCGAGCGCGUCACAGCGUUGAACCUGUCGCGAAACAAUCUGGCACGGUUGAACGAUGUGACGGUGGGCCGCGCG